UAGCUUAACCGGUAGAGCAUCGCAGUAACGUUGCCAUGGUCAGCGGUUCGAUUCCUACUGGGACCA